UGAGAAGUUCGAUCCGGUGUGGCUUUGUAACACGUGAGUUAUCUGAGCUGCACUGAAAAGUAAUUCAGUUUUGGAGAAAAUACUGUAGUUGUUUAGACACGGCCACCGAAGAGAUUUGAGAUCUCCUGGUCCAGCCUGAUAUCUCCCUGACUCAAUGGGAGGGGUCUCCAGGGGCCACCAGGAGCCCGAGGUGUUCAGGGGCCACAGCUUCACCCUCACCUAUUCCACUUAGCCACAGUACCCAGGAGGCUCCUUCCUCCUCACGUUCCCCGGCUCCAACAGAACCCAGACAGCUGUCAAUCCCUCUGCUGCCUUCCUCUUCCCCGCUGUAAAUGACUCCCACCAAAAUAAUUACAGCUGUGUUUAUGAGAAUUAUGUUUUCUCUCAUAACUUCUACUAUGAGAGUUCCUCUCCCUCACAGCCUCUCCUCUGCCCACCUUCAUCAUCAGACAUGUUGUAGUGCUGCUGAUCCUACUGACAGCCAUCACUGCCUUCUACUUGUACUUCAAGACCACCAGAAGGCAGAAGAGUGAGUGACUCACAGCAAGGACUGACCAACACAGGAGGAAAAACAGAAUACACAAAUACCAAAAGUCCUAUUUUUUUUUAUUUUUUUUAAAUACAGAAAUCCAAUAGAAAUCACAUUGGAACCCAAAUAAGAGAGGGGAAAAAUAUGUAAAGGGAGAAAAAAAAUAAGAAAAAAAGAACAGAAAACAUUUGCCACUCAUACUGCACUCCUGGUAACCUUUUGACCUCUUGUCACCGUGGGAAACAGGCUUCAUCUGAUCUUUUAAGGAGCUCCUCUGAUUUGCUGAGACAGAGUCCAAGCAAAGAGAAAGCAUGAAGUAUUGACCAAUUCCAUAUCGAAAUGCGUCACAAGAUGGCGGGUACGCCCGAAUGGUUGUCAGACUUAGAGAUGGAGUCAGGGGUACCCAUAGAGGACGGUAAGAAGGUGGGAGGAAAAAAGGAAGAAAGUGGAGCAUAAUAGGAUGAAUUAACUGCGGUGGCAGGUGCAGUGAAGAACGCUGAGUUUGAGCCUCAUUCAGAUGGUGAUAAAGAUGAUUUUUCCCCAGUGGGAGUGAGAUUUUUGUAGAGAAUGGGUCCUUGCCUUCUGGCUGAUCUAUAUGUGGUGUCAGGUUGGUUGGGGAAUGUUGGGUCGGUGAAAAUGACUCGAAGUGGAAUCGUGUCGAUUUUUGCGUUUCUGCCGUCCAGAGGGAGUAUGUGCUCCACAGCACACCACUGGGGGACUGUGACUUGCUUUCCUCUCCGGAGCAGGGCACCAUUGAAAGCACUGAUAACUGGAGUGGCGUUAAAGGGGAAUUUCACCCUGGGGAAUCUGGCCUUUUUUCAUCGUAUGAGGCAUUUCUAGGUCAGUGAAAUGUGUUUCACACAUAAUUGCCCAGGAGGAAGGCACGUCUGGGCUUUGCACACUGAAUGAUACACCAUAGGCGGCUUCCGGUGUAUUGAUGGGAGGCUUUUUUGAAAGGGAGGGGGACACUAACAACACAAUCCAUUGGGAAAAACUGAAAGUACUGACCAGACCACAUGACUUCAAGUGAUACCUCUCAUCAACACAAAUUCGAAGAUGACAUUCAACCAUACAUGUUUCAACCUGAAUAUAGCGAAGAAGAUUCGAAACAAAGAGUUGGAUUUAGCUAGAAGCUCAGCUAAAGCUUAUGCCAGUACCUAGAGGGCAGAUGACAAAUAAGGUGGCUAGCUAAGUACGUUAUUCUUCCUGGAAGCCACCUAGAUAGCUAGCUAACUUGAGUUUAUUUACUGAAACCUAUAUUGUGUAUUGCAGGCUAACAUACUACUGCGUUACAGUGGGGAUAAAUCUAUUUCUAGGUAGCUAGGUAGGUAGGUAGCUAGCUAUUCUGGCUAAGUUAGCUAAACAACUACAGGUAGCCAUAUCUAGGCCAAAAAAAUAGAAGAGGUUUUACAAUCAGAGAUCUAUUGUAUCUUGAUUGUAAAACCUCUUCUCUUUCUAAUUGUAGAUAUGGCUAUUAAACAGCAAGCUAUAACAUUACAACCAGCCACCUAAAGCUAGGUUACCAGUAAAUGUUAGCACAUGACUGGAGUUGGCUAGCUAGUUAGCACGUUUGUAACUUUUUAGCAAAUGUAAAUAGUCAGCAACUGUAAAUAGUUUUACUAGCUAGCUAUGUAACAUAAUUGACAAGGGUUGACAUUGAUUAUGAUUAUGACCGUGGAUGCAUUUUAAAAUCACAAAAUUAUAGGCAUGACGCAAUAUAGGAUUCCAAACAUUGUAAAUAACAAUUAUUGACUAUCCAGCAAGCUAGCUAGCUAAGUUAACCAUCUCACAGUGAGGAGAAACAAUAAUACAAACAUUUAACUGUUGUAAAUCUCUAAAACUGAUAAGCUGGUUUUACUAUCAAAUAUUUACCUAUGCAUGCCUGUUAGACAUGGCUGUAGCUAGAUAUUGUCUGCCUACCUACCUAGGUACAUAUGUCCAGUCUGGUCACUGUGCAAAGCUUGAGGGUUAUGCCAUAUUUCUUUCUAUUAGGCUAGAUAUUGUUCUAAAUGUCAUCUCUGUGCCUAUGCACAUGUAUGCAUGUUCAACUAGUCUACCCUAAUGGUGUUACGCUGGCACAGUUCAACUGUCGUUCAAACCUUGCAAUGGAUAUCAUUUAUCUUUUUUGUCUUACAGACAAUAAUGUGUGGUGCCUGGGUUUCUUUCUGGAGUGGAUUCUUGGAGUGAAACAUAAUUCAUUUACCUACGUGUCAUUGUAGCAGAACUGUGAAUUUAGAAAAUGUUCCGUUAUUAAAAUAAAUGUUUUCUCCAUUAAGUAAUCCAUCACCAUCUUAUCUGUUUCUUCUCUCAAUGAUCAAGACAGGUGAGUGUCCACCCCAAAGUGCUGC